rnacentral:rRNA from 1 species
UAGGGAAUCUUCGGCAAUGGACGGAAGUCUGACCGAGCAACGCCGCGUGAGUGAAGAAGGUUUUCGGAUCGUAAAGCUCUGUUGUAAGAGAAGAACGAGUGUGAGAGUGGAAAGUUCACACUGUGACGGUAUCUUACCAGAAGGGGACGGCUAACUACGUGCCAGCAGCCGCGGUAAUACGUAGGUCCCGAGCGUUGUCCGGAUUUAUUGGGCGUAAAGCGAGCGCAGGCGGUUAGAUAAGUCUGAAGUUAAAGGCUGUGGCUUAACCAUAGUAGGCUUUGGAAACUGUUUAACUUGAGUGCAAGAGGGGAGAGUGGAAUUCCAUGUGUAGCGGUGAAAUGCGCAGAUAUAUGGAGGAACACCGGCGGCGAAAGCGGCUCUCUGGCUUGUAACUGACGCUGAGGCUCGAAAGCGUGGGGAGCAAACAGGAUUAGAUACCCUGGUAGUCCACGCUGUAAACGAUGAGUGCUAGGUGUUAGACCCUUUCCGGGGUUUAGUGCCGUAGCUAACGCAUUAAGCACUCCGCCUGGGGAGUACGACCGCAAGGUU